rnacentral:rRNA from 1 species
CAGCCGCCACGGGAAUACGGAGGGCGCGAGCGUUACCCGGAUUUACUGGGCGUAAAGGACGUGUAGGCGGCCUGGGGCGUCCCAUGUGAAAGGCCACGGCUCAACCGUGGAGGAGCGUGGGAUACGCUCAGGCUAGAGGGUGGGAGAGGGUGGUGGAAUUCCCGGAGUAGCGGUGAAAUGCGCAGAUACCGGGAGGAACGCCGAUGGCGAAGGCAGCCACCUGGUCCACUUCUGACGCUGGGGCGCGAAAGCGUGGGGAGCAAACCGGAUUAGAUACCCCCGUAGUCCCUGUCUCUUAUAC